CCUACGGGGUGCAGCAGUGAGGAAUAUUGGUCAAUGGACGCAAGUCUGAACCAGCCAUGCCGCGUGCAGGACGACGGCUCUAUGAGUUGUACACUGCUUUUAUACGGGGGUAAACGCAGAUACGCGUCUCUGUCUGAAAGUAUCGUACGAAUAAGGAUCGGCUAACUCCGUGCCAGCAGCCGCGGUAAUACGGAGGAUUCAAGCGUUAUCCGGAUUUAUUGGGUUUAAAGGGUGCGUAGGCGGUCGGAUAAGUUAGAGGUGAAAUUCCGAGGCUCAACUUCGGAAUUGCCUCUGAUACUGUUCGGCUAGAGAGUAGUUGCGGUAGGCGGAAUGUAUGGUGUAGCGGUGAAAUGCUUAGAGAUCAUACAGAACACCGAUUGCGAAGGCAGCUUACCAAGCUACUUCUGACGUUGAGGCACGAAAGCGUGGGGAGCAAACAGGAGUAGAUACCCGAGUAGUC
rnacentral:rRNA from 1 species